AGUUAUUGGACGUCAAGUUGCUGUAUUGUUCAGAAUCUGAAUCAGAUUCUUUAAGCAAGUGGGGUUUUUUUUACAGCUAGCUGAGCUGGAAGAAAAACAGCAAUGAGUUCAACAUGCCCAACACUUCGAGAAGAAUUCCGCGUGAAAAAAUUCCUCUUCUCAGGAGUUCAUACGGGAAGAUUCUACAAUUUUCAUUGGCGACUUCCCCCAUUUAUCUUUCUCUUGUAUCGACUGUGUUUGGCAAUAUAUGUGGACUUCUGGCUGAUAUAUUUUGGUCGUCUACACACGUCGAAAUCAACCACGUCUGAACACGGCCCUCAGCCCUGGUCGUGCUAUCUGACUGUGUGGACCUACACUGUACUGGCCCUGUUUCUCACCAUUUACGCAGUCAUUGUUCUCAUGUAUUAUUUGUUUCAUCCCUCCACACUAUUCCAAGCACCAUCUCAAGAAUAUCACGCCAACCUAUUCCAUGAACUUUCCUCAUCGGAUGGAUACAGACAAUUGGGUUACGAACAGAUCAUGGACGAUGACUAUGAAAUGGAAAUACAACCUCUCAGCAACAUGUUGCCAUGGUAUCUGAAGCUGGUGUGGAUUCUGCAGAAUAUUGUGUUUGUUGCUGCUGUUAUUGUGACGAUGGUAUUUUUUGUCUUCCUGCUGCCUCAAAUGAAAGGUGUUUCUGGGAUCUCGUUGGAGAAUCUCCAGCUGCAUGCCCUGAACACUGUGAUAGUUGUCGUGGAGAGCCUGGUAAGUGCUGUGCCACACAGACUGCUGCACAUCGUGUACUGUGCGUUGUACGCGCUGGUGUAUGUGCUGUUCAGCGUGUUCUACUGGGUCCCGGACCACGCCCACGUCAUGUACCCCAACGUCCUCGACUGGAACCAGCCCGCUCACACUGUGGGCAUGAUCUGUCUUAUCGCAUUUGUCUUCUUUCCUCUUCUCCAAAUGUUAUAUCACUUGAUUUAUCGCCUCAAAAUAUUCAUACUUCAACAAGUCCUAUCUGUUUGACAGGCAGUGCAAAUAAACCAAAAGUCAAGAAUUCUGUGAUGUUUAUCAGGUAUAAUGAUCCACUAAGCAUAGGCAUUGGAAGUGUGUGGGCCGAGAGGUGGGAGGUGUUGUUUAGUUGCAACUCUAAGUAUUAUGCAUUGAGGCCUCCCCCCCCCCCCCCCCCCACCCCCAUCAGUUGACUUGUAAAUUAAUGUAACUGGCCACUCCAAUUAUUGGCAUCCUCCAUCAACUAUACUAAACUUAUGAAACAAAACUGUGACACGCCAACCGUAAUUAUGUGUUUUGUAAGAAAAAUCUCAACUUCUGUCACAAAACUGACACCCCACCUGUAAUUAUAUAUUUUGUGGGGCAAAUCUUAAGUCACUAAUGUAAUAGUAGGUUUGUUUAAAACAGGCAAAUCUUAAGUUCUGUCACUAAUGUAACAGUAGGUUUGUUUAAAACAGGCAAAUCUUAAGUUACUGUUUAAAUUACAACACUGGCCGUGUUAGAACUCUCUUCAUAUACCGUGUGCUACCCACCCUGGUAUCGGUAUCACAGUAUUGUUACUGAUUAAGCUACAACACUGGCCGUGUUAGAACUCUCUUCAUAUACCGUGUGCUACCCACCCUGGUAUCGGUAUCACGGUAUUGUUACUGAUUAAACUACAUCACUGGCCGUGUUAGA
rnacentral:misc_RNA from 1 species